AGAGUUUGAUCAUGGCUCAGGACGAACGCUGGCGGCGUGCCUAAUACAUGCAAGUCGAGCGGACGAUUCAAAAGCUUGCUUUUGAAUCGUUAGCGGCGGACGGGUGAGUAACACGUGGGCAACCUGCCCUGUAGACGGGGAUAACACCGAGAAAUCGGUGCUAAUACCGGAUAACACGAAAUGUCGCAUGACGUUUCGUUGAAAGACGGCGCAAGCUGUCGCUACAGGAUGGGCCCGCGGCGCAUUAGCUAGUUGGUGAGGUAACGGCUCACCAAGGCGACGAUGCGUAGCCGACCUGAGAGGGUGAUCGGCCACACUGGGACUGAGACACGGCCCAGACUCCUACGGGAGGCAGCAGUAGGGAAUCUUCCGCAAUGGACGAAAGUCUGACGGAGCAACGCCGCGUGAGCGAAGAAGGCCUUCGGGUCGUAAAGCUCUGUUGUUAGGGAAGAACAAGUAACGCAGUAACUGGCGUUACCGUGACGGUACCUAACGAGAAAGCCACGGCUAACUACGUGCCAGCAGCCGCGGUAAUACGUAGGUGGCAAGCGUUGUCCGGAAUUAUUGGGCGUAAAGCGCGCGCAGGCGGUUCCUUAAGUCUGAUGUGAAAGCCCACGGCUCAACCGUGGAGGGUCAUUGGAAACUGGGGGACUUGAGUGCAGAAGAGGAGAGUGGAAUUCCACGUGUAGCGGUGAAAUGCGUAGAGAUGUGGAGGAACACCAGUGGCGAAGGCGGCUCUCUGGUCUGUAACUGACGCUGAGGCGCGAAAGCGUGGGGAGCAAACAGGAUUAGAUACCCUG
rnacentral:rRNA from 1 species